rnacentral:ncRNA from 1 species
CCCGGAGGUGAACUAUGCCUGGGCAGGGUGAAGCCAGAGGAAACUCUGGUGGCAGGUCCAUACCAGUCCUGACACGUGAUUCAGUUGUCCAACCUGGGUAUAGGGGCAAAAGACUAAUCGAACCAUCUAGUAGCUGG